GAUGAAGAACGUAGUGAAAUGCGAUAAGUAGUGUGAGUUGCAGAAUUCAGUGAAUCAUCGAAUCUUUGAACGCACAUUGCGCCCCUUGGUAUCCCGAGGGGCAUGCCUGUUCGAGCGUCAUUUCACCACUCAAGCCUGGCUUGGUGUUGGGCGACGUCCCCUUUGGGGACGCGCCUCGAAACGCUCGGCGGCGUGGCACCGGCUUUAAGCGUAGCAGAAUCUUUCGCUUUGGAAGUCGGGGCCCCGUCUGCCGGAAGACCUACUCGCAAGGUUGACCUCGGAUCAGGCAGGGAUACCCGCUGAACUUAAGCAUAUCAAUAAGCGGAGGA
rnacentral:misc_RNA from 1 species